UGCAGCAUGGCAGAAUCUCUCACCACUUUCUCUGAUCCGAGGACAGAAAUGAGCAUCCUGGAAACCAACCAGUACUUGCGCUCCCAGCUGGCAAAAACCAAACAGAGCUUCCGAGACCUCACAGAGAAAUUCCUCACAUCCAAGGCUACUGCUUACUCCCUGGCCAAUCAGCUGCAGAAAUACAGUAAGCCCAGUGUGGUCACAGUCACCAGAGUGACUGCCCAUCUUCCCUCUGAGAAACUAAACACUCCCCAAACUUUAUUCUUCUCUCUCCAUCAAAAUAAAUCUCAUCCUGACUAUACUCCUGGAAAAGUAGAAGUGGAUAUGUUACUCUCAAUUUGCAGAAGAUGGAAACACUGAAGCACAAAGGAAUGAAGUUUAUAGUGAGAGGGUAGGAAGGCAUAGAGGCUAAACUGUGGGUUCAGGCAUUAAACUGUCUUUUCUCUCUCAGGAACAUGUAUCAGACUCUAUAAACAUAUAGUAACACUGUUGGCUUAAAUAUCUCAGGAUUCAGUUCCAACUUUUUCUAAGUACCCGUUUGCAAAGCACUGUGCUAGCCAUACUAGCGUAAUAGUGUAAUAGCAUACCCUCCCUGUCUUAUGGGAGCUUAAAGCUGUUUCCCACUCAACCAGAUACCUGGAGAUGAGAACAUCAAUAGCAAACACCGAGGGAAGUCCUGAUGCCUGGAGCCAGAUUCUUUUCCCACGUAAGUUCCAGGAAGCCGUCCCUUACACUCUGUGAGAUUGAACGUAUUUCCAGGAAAAUCAGAGACUCUUUAACACCUUUUUGAUCUCUCCCUUGAAUAUGAACUUUGAAGACAACAAGCUGGUCCAGGAUCUGGGCUUUGAGAUGCAGGGCCAAAAUGAGAAUGAGGCUAAGUGGGUGAGGCCUCCAGUGCAGCAGACCAGGUCUGUAUAGGAGCUGGCCCUUCCCUCUCCAUGCUCAGCUUUCACAUUUGGAAAUCCUUGGACAGUCUCACACGUGUUUGUCAUGGGGUUGGGGGGGUACCAGUGGGAAGCUGUAGUGACUGAAGGAAACAUGAUGGAAGUGAGGACACAUGAGAGACAGGAACAGUAGAGGAGGAUGCUUGCUGACAUUGAAGUUGAGUUUGCUUUCAAAUUCCUACAAUUUUUCAGUAAAUUAGUAGAGGAUGAAAUUUGCUUAUCCAACUUACAUGGAGAAAAAAAUUUAAAAAAUGCCUACUUAUUAAAGAAGAAAAAGAUGAGCUUUGGGGUGUGGAAGAAUAAAGGGCUUUUUUUCUACAUCACUUAUUAUAAAAUCACAAUUGUAGGACAAAUAUUUUGGAGCUAGUAAAGAGAUCUUGCCCUAGAUCUUAGUGUAAAGAUAAUACAGUACAGUGAUUAUGAGCAUGUACCCUGGGACCAGACUUCUGGGUCCAAAUCCAAGUUAUCCUUUUUGUGCCUCAGUUUUCUCACCUGUGAUGGUAGUAAGAAUAUUUGCCUUUGCAGUUAGUUGUGAUGAUUACAUGAUAAUUCUCAAAAACCUAGGACAGUGCAAUGGCAAGCACCGGGUAUUCUCUCCCUCUAACCUAACACAACACCUGUUUGCAUUUGAACAUACGUCUUUCAGAUUUUUUCCCCUCCAUAUACAUUUUACACCCUUGUAUCCAGAUAAACUUUUAAAUUUUUGAACUAUUGAGGGAAUUAUUGAAACUCUCAACGUGGGAGAACCAUCAGUCCGACAAUCUUCGGAGACAUCCUAAACACAGGAAAUCACUACUUCAUGCUUUAUGGUUUAUUUCAGGUUAAUGGUUUAUUUCCGAGGCUACCAAGCUUGGUAAAAUGGCCCAAGAUUUGGAGUCAGACCUCAGGGGAUGUGAAUUCCUCAGGGAUUGUCUCAUUCCAGUUGAAUCCAGUUGAGCAAGUUACCUGCCCAUGAGCUUCUCUUUCCCCAUAUCUAAGAUGGGGAGCAAUCAUAUGCCAUGUAGCCUGGGAGAUUGAGGAAUGAAAUGUGGAAAUCCCAGCAGAGAGCCUGGUAAUGGGGUUACAUUUGUCCUUGGGGUGGACCCUGCCUCCUCGUGUGAAGGCAGUGACUAGAGCAGCGUGUCCAGCUUUCCACUGAGGCAGGUGUGUCUGUUUUUUUCAGAGAGUGAAGAGCACAAAGCCCUCAUUGAAUCUGUGCUAGAGGAGGGAGCGCGGUUUGAGGGAGAGCUGGCAGAGAAGAGGAGCCCAGCUGCAAGGCUGGGGUAAGGAGGUGCCUGUGCGGGAGGGUGUGAAUUACGGUCUUAAGUGGACCUUGCGGGCUGCUAGUAUAGAGAGCGCAUGUGCAAGGAGAAGGGCAGGAGAGUACCUGGCAGGCACAGAACCAGACAAAGACAACCGGCGGGGUUGUGAGAAUGGGUGGGAGAACAGUCUGGUCUCUGGGGUUCUCUCUUAAAUAGCAUAAGAAUAAAAUGGAGACAGAUGCCUGGGAUGGAAUACUAGCAAUGUGGCUUCCAGGUGGGUGGCCUUGUGCAAAUUCACUCAGCUUUCCUGCAUUUCAGUUACCUCAGCUACCUCACCUGCAAAAUAAAAAUACCAAUGGUAUCUACCUCAGAGGGUUAUGAAGAUGAGACACAUGAUUACAGGUUAAAACCAUCUCCUAUGCGUAUGAAGCUCUCAACAAAUAUUUUCUGUAAUCAUUAUACUUGCUUUUAUUUUUUACAGGAGUGGUAGUUGUCAUUAAUGGACUAACAUUUUCUACCAUGAGAGAGAUUUUCCCAAGUUUUCCAAAGUGCCUUUUUCAUGAUAAAAAUGUUUCUCCUUCUCAACUUUGAUUUUUUUUCUAAGUACCAUACUAUGUGGAGUACUAACUGGUAGGGCUGUUGGGCAGAUAGAUAAUCAAGCAGUCUGGGAAAAUGGAUUAUUAAUGUGCUCUGGACUAGCCUUGUCCAUCCUCAGAUUGUUUCAAAUAUAGGGGAGAUUGUGGGAUUCCAGAUGUCUUUUAACCCUUUGUUGAAAGGGAAUCUGAGAAGCUCAAAUGUAUAAAACUUCCUAAAGCAGAGAUACUUGAUUGAAGAAGGCAUAGGUCUGGAGCCUCUGUUGCUCCCUAGUCUAUGCCUUCACCAACUCUGACACUUUUUAAGAGCUCUAUGGAAUAGAAUUUGAAAGACAAUCUGUAGAAUAUAAUUUAGUAGACAGCAGGGAGGAGAUUCAGGCAUCAGAUGAGGUAGACCUAAAUAUCUCGUCCAGCUUUAGGAUUAUGUGGUUCUAAGUAUUAACCGAAUGCCUACUUGUGUGUGUACACUCUGUUGGGUACUGUAAGUUGGGUACUACAUGGCACUGUCUCUAGCCUCGCAGAGCUCACACUUUUAGAUUGGAAUCUGUGUAUAAUAUUUGUAUAAUAAUUAGAAAAUGGUGAAAACCCACUUAGAGUGAUGUAAUUGUUACUCAGAACUUUAUUUACUCUUAAGUGCCUCCUUACUGAUUAUUACUCCUUUUCACGUCACUCAAAAGAAUGUUAUCCUUCUUGACCUUUACAUUGAUUUUCCUUUUCAUCCUUUGAAUUAACACCACACGUACCCAUCCAACACUUCCGUAUCUGGUUUGUGCGUGUGUGCGUGCAACUUUCUGUAUAAUGCUAGGUAGUAUAUAUUCCAUGGAAAUGGAUGUGGGCUGAAUUGAGGAACUAAAGGGGCAUCUUUUCAAAGCAAAGCUAAUAAAACAACAAACAAACCCAAUGCUGUUUCCUCAUUCCCUCUGCCACAGGCAGGCCAAGUCACAUGACUUGUAUAAGAAUUCAAGUUGGGGAAUUCCUUAGGGGCAUUCUAAGAGAUGUCUCUGUUGAAACUCCCACAACCUAUCGUUCACUACAUGCACUGUUAUAUUUUACUUUUCUUUCCUACCUUAGGAAACAUGAUACCCUAAUUCAGGCUCAUGCCCGAGAACUGACCCACUUACGACAGAAGAUACGAGAAGGGAAAGGUGUCUGUUAUCUUUUCAUUCAGCAUACGAAGAGCAUAGUGAAGUCUUUUGAGGGCCUCCUCAGGAGUGCUGACAUUCCCUACUACCAGGGACAGAGAUUCUGUGAGCAGCUGGCCCAAGGAAGCCAGCUGGCAGAGAGCCUUGCCAGCAAACUCAUCACUG
rnacentral:lncRNA from 1 species